UAGGUAGUUUCCUGUUGUUGGGCUGCUCUUUGUUCACAGUGACAAGAAACUGCCUGUA
rnacentral:pre_miRNA from 1 species